rnacentral:rRNA from 1 species
CCUACGGGGGCAGCAGUGGGGAAUAUUGGACAAUGGGCGAAAGCCUGAUCCAGCCAUGCCGCGUGUGUGAAGAAGGCCUUCGGGUUGUAAAGCACUUUCAGUGGGGAAGAAAGCCUUGGGGCUAAUACCCUCGAGGAAGGACAUCACCCACAGAAGAAGCACCGGCUAACUCCGUGCCAGCAGCCGCGGUAAUACGGAGGGUGCGAGCGUUAAUCGGAAUUACUGGGCGUAAAGCGCGCGUAGGCGGUCUGAUAAGCCGGUUGUGAAAGCCCCGGGCUCAACCUGGGAACGGCAUCCGGAACUGUCAGGAUAGAGUGCAGGAGAGGAAGGUAGAAUUCCCGGUGUAGCGGUGAAAUGCGUAGAGAUCGGGAGGAAUACCAGUGGCGAAGGCGGCCUUCUGGACUGACACUGACGCUGAGGUGCGAAAGCGUGGGUAGCAAACAGGAUUAGAUACCCCGGUAGUC